rnacentral:rRNA from 1 species
AGACCCGAAACCCGGUGAUCUAGCCAUGGGCAGGUUGAAGGUUGGGUAACACUAACUGGAGGACCGAACCGACUAAUGUUGAAAAAUUAGCGGAUGACCUGUGGCUGGGGGUGAAAGGCCAAUCAAACCGGGAGAUAGCUGGUUCUCCCCGAAAGCUAUUUAGGUAGCGCCUCGUGAAUUCAUCUCCGGGGGUAGAGCACUGUUUCGGCUAGGGGGCCAUCCCGGCUUACCAACCCGAUGCAAACUGCGAAUACCGGAGAAUGUUAUCACGGGAGACACACGGCGGGUGCUAACGUCCGUCGUGAAGAGGGAAACAACCCAGACCGCCAGCUAAGGUCCCAAAGUCAUGGUUAAGUGGGAAACGAUGUGGGAAGGCCCAGACAGCCAGGAUGUUGGCUUAGAAGCAGCCAUCAUUUAAAGAAAGCGUAAUAGCUCACUGGUCGAGUCGGCCUGCGCGGAAGAUGUAACGGGGCUAAACCAUGCACCGAAGCUGCGGCAGCGACGCUGAUGCGUUGUUGGGUAGGGGAGCGUUCUGUAAGCCUGCGAAGGUGGCCUGUGAGGGUUGCUGGAGGUAUCAGAAGUGCGAAUGCUGACAUAAGUAACGAUAAAGCGGGUGAAAAGCCCGCUCGCCGGAAGACCAAGGGUUCCUGUCCAACGUUAAUCGGGGCAGGGUGAGUCGACCCCUAAGGCGAGGCCGAAAGGCGUAGUCGAUGGGAAACGGGUUAAUAUUCCCGUACUUGGUGUUACUGCGAAGGGGGGACGGAGAAGGCUAUGUUGGCCGGGCGACGGUUGUCCCGGUUUAAGCGUGUAGGUGUGUGUUCCAGGUAAAUCCGGUUCACUUUAACACUGAGGCGUGAUGACGAGGCGCUACGGUGCUGAAGCAACAAAUGCCCUGCUUCCAGGAAAAGCCUCUAAGCAUCAGGUAACAUCAAAUCGUACCCCAAACCGACACAGGUGGUCAGGUAGAGAAUACCAAGGCGCUUGAGAGAACUCGGGUGAAGGAACUAGGCAAAAUGGUGCCGUAACUUCGGGAGAAGGCACGCUGACACGUAGGUGAAGUGAUUUACUCAUGGAGCUGAAGUCAGUCGAAGAUACCAGCUGGCUGCAACUGUUUAUUAAAAACACAGCACUGUGCAAACACGAAAGUGGACGUAUACGGUGUGACGCCUGCCCGGUGCCGGAAGGUUAAUUGAUGGGGUCAGCGCAAGCGAAGCUCCUGAUCGAAGCCCCGGUAAACGGCGGCCGUAACUAUAACGGUCCUAAGGUAGCGAAAUUCCUUGUCGGGUAAGUUCCGACCUGCACGAAUGGCGUAAUGAUGGCCAGGCUGUCUCCACCCGAGACUCAGUGAAAUUGAACUCGCUGUGAAGAUGCAGUGUACCCGCGGCAAGACGGAAAGACCCCGUGAACCUUUACUAUAGCUUGACACUGAACAUUGAGCCUUGAUGUGUAGGAUAGGUGGGAGGCUUUGAAGUGUGG